GGCUACGAUCAUACUACGUUGAGAGCACCGCACCCCGUCAGGUCGGCGAAGUUAAGGAACGUUAGGCUGAGCUAGUACUUCGUUUGGAGACAGCGUGGGAACACUCUGUGUCGUAAGCC
rfam:Trichuris trichiura, WGS project CBXK01000000 data, contig: TTRE_2415